CUUUAAAGUCUGUAUCUUAUUUAUUUAUUUAUUUAAAUCCCUAGUGCCUAACCCAUGGAAAGUGUGCUUGACAAAUCUUCGCUAUCGAGUGAACACCGGAAAAAGACACCUGUUCCAGUUACUUUGGCCUAGGAGACUCCAAUGAAAGAAUCUUUCUUCCUGAAAAGGACUUGUGUUCAAUUGGCUGUGAACAAGAAUCAGUGAGGCUGACUAUAACACUUGUUCCUCAGAGACCGGAUUUCUAUCUUCAUGCCAGCCUUUAUCUGAUCAUGGUGCCUAAAAGAGUUCCAUUCCGUCAACUGCAUACCUGUACUUAAAUGAAAAGGGAUUUAUUGUUUUUAAUUGCUCAAUACAAACAGGAUUUAAUUGUUCCUCUGACUACUAGCAUGUAAAGAAAGGCUA
rnacentral:lncRNA from 1 species